AUGGCGACCGGCGCACGGGUGAGUAACACGUAUCCAACCUGCCGAUAACUCGGGGAUAGCCUUUCGAAAGAAAGAUUAAUACCCGAUGGUAUAAUCAGACCGCAUGGUCUUGUUAUUAAAGAAUUUCAGUUAUCGAUGGGGAUGCGUUCCAUUAGGCAGUUGGUGAGGUAACGGCUCACCAAACCUUCGAUGGAUAGGGGUUCUGAGAGGAAGGUCCCCCACAUUGGUACUGAGACACGGACCAA
rnacentral:rRNA from 1 species